rnacentral:rRNA from 1 species
UGCCAGCCGCCGCGGUAAUACGUAGGGAGCAAGCGUUGUCCGGAAUUAUUGGGCGUAAAGGGUGCGUAGGCGGUAAUCCAAGUCAGAUGUGAAAUCCCCGGGCUUAACUCGGGACGUGCAUUUGAAACUGGGUCACUUGAGUAAAGAAGAGGUAAGUGGAAUUCCUAGUGUAGCGGUGAAAUGCGUAGAUAUUAGGAGGAACACCAGUGGCGAAGGCGACUUGCUGGUCUUUUACUGACGCUGAGGCACGAAAGCGUGGGGAGCAAACAGGAUUAGAUA